rnacentral:tRNA from 1 species
UGGCUCAGUUGGCAGAGCAUGGUGUUUGCAACGCCAGGGUUGUGGGUUCGAUUCCCCU